rnacentral:rRNA from 1 species
AUGGAGGCGGUGGAAGACACCAAUCUGGAAGCCGCGAUCGGCUGGCUGACAGAUACCAUCCUCUCGAAUCUCCCAGCCGGCGGCAAGCUGGACUCAUGGAUCGGGCAAGCUGGCCUCGGCAACGACAUCGGGAAGCUCAAGUCUGAGGUGGAGGCGGUGGAGAUGGUGGUUUCUGCUGUGCAGGGGAGGGCGGCCGGGAACAAACCGCUGGCCCGAUCUCUCGCGGCCGUCAAGGAGCUGCUCUACGACGCCGACGAUGUGGUCGACGAGCUGGACUGCUACAGGCUGCAGCAGGAGCUCGAGCCAGAUACACUGCUCGAAACGGAUGGACAUAGAACACAGCAAGUUGAGAGAUCUAGAGAAAAUGCUGAUGUGCAGAGUAGCAGCAAUGGCAAUGGCAGGUUACGUUCCAAGGAAUGGAAUCACUUUGACAUCACACAGUUUGAACAAAACGGAGGGCCUGCCAGAGCAAGAUGUAAGUACUGUGAAACAGAGGUUAUGUGCACAACCAAAAAGGGGACAUCAGUUUUGCGCAAUCAUCUCAAUAGCAAAGGUUGUAGCAAGAAACGUGAAGCAACUGACCCUUCUUCAAGCAUCGUUGAUGCUACUACAAUUCAUGUGCCCGUUGCAACUGGUAAUUCGUCCAACAGAAAAAGGAUGAGAACUGGUCAGGAGUCAACACACAUCAACGCAGCUAACCCAAACGGGUGGAACAAGGAUUCAUUUCCCAAAAGGAUACAAGACAUCACUAGUCAGCUGCAAGGCAAACGAGAGGCUGUCACAAGGAUUCUCAAGAUACUUGGGUCAGAUUCUGGUGGUGCAACCUCAAAUCACUCUCAGCUUAUGGUCACAGAUCCACGCCGAAGAACAUCAAGCCUUGUUCAAGGAAAAGUGUAUGGGAGAGCUGAAGACAAGAGUUACAUCAAAAUGUUGAUAAAAGAAUGCAAAUCAGAUGCUAGUUUGACUGUUCUGCCUAUUGUAGGCAUCGGAGGAGUUGGGAAGACAACUCUCGCUCAGCUUGUAUACAAUGAUCCAGCUUUGAAAAGUCAAUUUGAUCACAAGAUAUGGAUUUGGGUGUCUAACAACUUUGAUGAAAUGAGACUCACAAGACAGAUGUUAGAAUGCGUCUCCCAAGAAUCACAUGAUGGACUAUGUAGCUUUCCCAAUCUUCAGGAGAUCUUGAAGGGUCAUAUUAAAUCGAAGAGGUUUCUACUUGUUUUGGAUGAUGUCUGGAAAGACAUGGAUGAUGGUCGAUGGAACAAAUUAUUGGCUCCUUUCAAUUCUGGUAGUGCAAAUGGCAAUAUGAUAAUUAUGACAACUAGAAAACUUUCUAUUGCAAAGAGGAGAGGAACCAUUAGACCAAUUAACUUAGGUACUUUGGGAAAGGACCAUUUUUGGCAGUUGUUUAAAUCAUGCGCGUUUGGUGACGAGAAUUAUGAAGCGCAAGCAAGUCUAAGUGACUUAGGACAGGAAAUAGCACAAAAGUUAAAAGGGAACCCAUUAGCAGCACAAACUGCCGGGGCACUAUUAAGAGAUCAUCUUACUGUGGAUCAUUGGAGUAACACCCUGAAGACUGAAGCUUGGAAUUCUCUGCAACGCGCUGAUGGCAUCAUGUUUUGUUUGAAGCUUUCCUAUGAUGAGCUGACCUACCCUCUACGACAAUGUUGCUCGUAUUGUUCUAUAUUCCCCUACAACUAUCAGUUUCUUGCUGAGGAGCUAGUUCGUCUUUGGAUUUCACAGGGAUUUGUGAAGUGUGAUCAUUCAAGUAGGAGUUUGGAGGAGAUUGGAUGGUACUACCUGACAGACUUGGUGAACCUCGGCUUGUUUCAGCGGGUUGAAAUAGAAAAACCCUCUAUUGGUAGUCAAACUUACUAUAUUAUGUGUGGCCUGAUGUAUGAUUUUGCAAGGCUAGUUUCAAGAACUGAGUGUGCAACUUUGGAUGGUUUGCAGUGCAAUACAGUUUUGUCAACCGUGCACCAUUUGUCUAUAGUAACUGAUUGUAUAUAUCGGAGGGAUAAUAAGACUGGGAGCAUACGUCGUUGUGAGAAUUUUGAUUUUCUUUCGCAAAAUAUAGUCGCAUCAGUGAGAAAGUUGAGAACAGUGGUGUUAAUUGGGGAAUAUGACUCCUUUUUCUUCAAAGAAUUCCAAGAUGUAUUUGAAAAGGCACAUAACUUGCGUCUGCUGCAAAUGUCUGCAACAUCUGCUGAUUUUAGUUCCUUCAUGCGUAGCUUGGCAAAUCCUACACGUCUUCGGUAUCUAAAACUUCAGAAUGGUCAUACUGAGCAGAAGGCUUUGCCUCAAGUUUUGAACAAGUUUUUCCAUCUUCAAGUAUUGGAUGCUGCUUUCUGUAUGUCAUUGCAUAUGGUUGAUCUAGAGGAUUGCAGUGAGCAGAGAAUACUUCCAUCUCUCGAAAUGCUUCGGUUUCUUAAAAGGUUGAAGUUGUGCAACAUGCGGAGAGUAAGCGAAGUAUUGGUUCCGUCAUUGGAGGAGCUGGUUUUAGAUGGAAUGCCAGAUUUACAGAGAUGUUCAUGUACUUCCGUGGGGGGUAUGAAGUCUAGUUUAAGGGUGUUGGAGAUCCAGAGAUGCCCUGUACUUGACGUGUUCGAUCUGUUUCAGAAAGGUUGUAACUAUGAAACUGAGCAUAAGUCAUGGUUGCCCAGUCUGAGGAAACUCAUUAUGUGCGAUUGUCCUAAUUUGCAAGUACAGACCCCCCUUCCACUUUCAGCCAUAUUUUCUGAACUAUUAAUCAGCAGAGUUUCCACAAUUAUGACAAUGGAGGGAUCUUCCAUGGGAACAUUCAAAAGUAAUGGAAAAAGAAUUUGGGAUAUGCCUUUUGUUCAGACAAUGGCACUUGAUGACAGAAUUUUGGCAUUCCAUAAUCUUAAGGAUAUCAAAUGUUUGGAGAUAUCGUCGUGUGGAAAUUUAACAUCUAUUUCAUUCAAAUGUUUAAGUCAGCUCAUCUCGUUAAAGAGUUUGAAAAUAGUGGACUGCACAAAACUUUUCUCACCAGAUUCUGUGCCAAAGCAUACCCAUGAAGACACGAUAACCGUAAAAGAUGCUGCUCUUCCGGCUCUUGAAAGUCUUGAUAUUAGAGGAUGCAGAAUAAUUGGGAAGUGUCUAUCUCUGAUGCUGCAACAUUCGCCAACCCUGAAGGAUUUGUAUUUAUAUAAUUGCUCGCAGUUGACACAGCAGAGGAUAGAAGAGGAAGGAAAAGUCUCAGCUUCUUGGACAUCAAGAUAUCUAUGCGAUGCUUCAUCAGGAUAUGCAGAUGACACACGGCCAUAUGCAGAUGACACAAGGCCAAGCUCAGCUGUAGAAGAUCUCGUGCACAUUCCGUUGGAUCUCAAAAAGAUAACAAUUUGUGGAUGCCCUCAUCUGAUAGUUGACGGGAGUAGGGAAGGCUUUGCUGGAUUUACCUCCUCCUCACAGGUAGAGAAUGGAAGAUGUCUCCUCCCGCAAUCACUUGAACAUCUUGAUUGGUCUGAUUAUUCCCGAAAAGCUCUGCGGCCCUGCUUUGUGGGUAAUCUCACCUGCCUCAAAAAAAUAAAUUUAAAUAGUGGGAGAAGUUUGGAAUGUCUACAGCUGGAUUCCUGUACGGCCUUGGAAGAUUUGGAAAUUCAGGGUUGCGAUCAGCUCGUCACCAUAGAGGGCUUGCGAUCGCUUGGAAUCCUUAGGUCUUUGAAAUUAUCUUAUAACUCAAGAUUGAAAUCUCUACAGCUGCAUUCCUGCACGUCGCUGGAACGUUUGGAAGUUGGGUCAUGUAGUUCACUCGUCACACUAGAGGGCUUGCAAUCCCUCGUGACCCUCAAGCAUUUGGAAAUAAUCGAUUCCCCUGCCUUGGAUUCCCUUGCCACGUUGCAGAGUUAUGAGCCAAUUGAGGGAAUUUCAAGUCAUAUCCAUGAGUUAUUCCCUGCACUGGAAAGUCUCAAGGUCGAUGACUUGUCUCCCCUUAACACAUCAUUCUGCAAGGGCCUCAUCUGCCUUCGAAGCCUAAAUUUUAUUUCUUUGGAUGCAACCAUACUAACAGAUGAGCAAGAGAGCGUGUUUCUGCUCCUCGGGUCCCUGCAAGAGCUCCAGUUUAUAGAUUCUAGGCACCUCUUAGAUCUUCCUUCGGGGCUGAGCAGCCUCCCUUCCCUCAAGACGUUGAAGAUCAUAGGUUGUAAACGCAUCUUAGGGCUUCCAAAGGAGGGCCUCCCACCUUCGCUGAAACAACUGGUAAUCAAGCAAUGCAGCUUCGAGUUAAAAGAACAAUGCAGAUCGCUAGCAACAAGCAAGCUAGAGGUGUUGACUACGUGGAUUGAUUUCUGA